GUCCACGUAGCUCAGCAGGAUAGAGCACAGGAUUCCU
rnacentral:tRNA from 1 species